UACAGAGGGGGCAAGCGUUGUUCGGAAUUACUGGGCGUAAAGGGCGCGUAGGCGGCCUGUUAAGUCGAACGUGAAAUCCCCGGGCUCAACCCGGGAACUGCGUCCGAUACUGGCAGGCUUGAAUCCGGGAGAGGGAUGCGGAAUUCCAGGUGUAGCGGUGGAAUGCGUAGAUAUCUGGAGGAACACCGGUGGCGAAGGCGGCAUCCUGGACCGGCAUUGACGCUGAGGCGCGAAAGCUAGGGGAGCAAACGGG
rnacentral:rRNA from 1 species